GUGCCAGCAGCCGCGGUAAUACGUAGGGGGCGAGCGUUGUCCGGAUUCAUUGGGCGUAAAGCGCGUGUAGGCGGCAGUUUAAGUCGGCCGUGAAAUCUCCGGGCUUAACCCGGAGGGGUCGGGCGAGACUGGACUGCUCGAGGUGGGCAGAGGGCGGUGGAAUUCCGGGUGUAGUGGUGGAAUGCGUAGAGAUCCGGAGGAACACCAGUGGCGAAGGCGGCCGCCUGGGCCUGGCCUGACGCUGAGACGCGAAAGCGUGGGGAGCGAUCCGGAUUAGAAACCCUCGUAGUCC
rnacentral:rRNA from 1 species